ACACGUGUCGGCUUUUCAAAGCUCUACUUUAUGACAUGAACGCUGAGGUGGCUUCACCAUGAGAGAGUAAACCCUACUUUAUAUAUAAAGAUCUCAUGAUUUUAAUAGUCGGACGGAUCUCUUUGCAAAAAGAGGCCGCACGCAAUUUUCUUAUUUUUCCCUCGUAAACACUAUGAUCCCUUCUUGGUUAGAUCCACCGUCUUAAACAUUUUUGGAUCAGUUUAAUGAAUAUGGAGCUUUGAUGUCAAAAAACAAAAACAAAAAGACAUAGUAGAAAGAAUAACGCAAGUAACUACAUAAUAUUGAGAUAUUAAUAAAAGGCAUAAUCAUAGUUGAUACGUAAUCAUAGGGAUUGUGAUACUCUUUCCCUUUAUAGAUUAUACGUCAAAAUUUACGAGAAUCUUCCAAACUUACUGCCUUAAACCUUCCGUUGCAAUAUCAAUAAGUGUACGUUAUUGGUAAGAAAUCAGUUUAUCGUAUAUGUGAAAUUGUAUAUAAAUACAUGAAGAAUGUGCUUGUUUAAUAAGAAUUACUAUCAGAAAUGGAGAAAAUGGUGUUCAGGAAAGUUAUGCUUCUUGCAUUCUUGUUUUCACUUUCAUGUGCAUUGGAAGGAGAAGUAAGAGUUAACGGAGAAAUGAGAGAUGUAACGAUACAACGAGGAGGUUCUUGUAACAACGACAAUGUUUGUCAUAAUCAUUGUCCAGGAUGUGCUAUCACACGGUGUGUUUUCAACCAAUGUGUUUGUUCUCGGUGUAAUCCUCCACAACAACAGUUACGCGAUGUAAUACAACGUGGAGGGUCUUGCAACAACGACAAUGUGUGUCAUAAUCAUUGCCCGCGGUGUGCUAUCACACGGUGUAUUUUUAACCAAUGUGUUUGUUCUCAAUGUAACCCUCCAUAUCAACAUUUACGUAUUAAAUCUCAUAUGUAAACUUAUUUCUAA